UGAAAGUUUUAUUCUAACUUGGAAAUUAAUUUAAAUUUUGUUUUAUAUGUAAAAUUUUAUGUGAAUUUAGUUUUAACUUAAAUAGUUAAUUGGGAUUAUUUUUUCGCAGUAAAGAAAUUUAAUUAUCAGUGAAAGCUGGAUUUAGGAAUAAUUUUAAAAUAUUAACAAAAUUUGUGCCAGCAGUUGCGGUUAAACAGAUAAUAUAAUUUAAUUUUUUCGGUUACAGUUAAUUUAUUUAUUUUAAUUUUUAGUUUUAGUUUAUUAGGUGAAAUUUUUAAAUUAAAUUAGUAGUUAAUUUUUGAAGCUGGGAAAUUUUUGUAUAAACUAGGAUUAGAUACCCUAUUAUUUUAAAUGUAAAUUUUUAUCUCUGAUUAUUAAUAGUUAUGUUCUUUAAAAUUAAAGAUUUUGGCGGUAUUUUAGUCCAUUCAGAGGAACCUGUCCUGUAAUUGAUAGUCCACGAUUUUCUUUACUUUUUUUAUUAGUUUAUAUAUCGUUGUAGUUCGGAUAUUUUAUUAGAUAAUUAAAUUUUCAUAAUUUUUCUAAAAAACUAAAUCAGAUCAAGGUGUAGCGGAUAAAGAAGGAGAGAUGGGUUACAAUAAAUUUAUUUAAUUAUUAAUUUUCUUAAAGAAUUUAAUGUUUAGGAUUUGAGAGUAAUUUUAGUUUAAAAACUAUUUUGAUUUUGGCUCUAAAAUAUGCACAUAUCGCCCGUCACUUUCAUUUCAAGGUGAAAUAAGUCGUAACAAAGUAGAUUUACUGGAAGGUGAAUCUGGAAAGUU
rnacentral:ncRNA from 1 species